UGGUUUCCAUCACGUCGAUUGGUGUCAGAGCAACGCAUGAUGUAUGAUAACUAGUCGUCGCUCUGAUACCAAUUGAUGCAAUGGAAACAU